rnacentral:rRNA from 1 species
AGAGUUUGAUCAUGGCUCAGAUUGAACGCUGGCGGCAGGCCUAACACAUGCAAGUCGAACGGUAACAGGAAGCAGCUUGCUGUUUCGCUGACGAGUGGCGGACGGGUGAGUAAUGUCUGGGAAACUGCCUGAUGGAGGGGGAUAACUACUGGAAACGGUAGCUAAUACCGCAUAACGUCGCAAGACCAAAGAGGGGGACCUUCGGGCCUCUUGCCAUCGGAUGUGCCCAGAUGGGAUUAGCUAGUAGGUGGGGUAACGGCUCACCUAGGCGACGAUCCCUAGCUGGUCUGAGAGGAUGACCAGCCACACUGGAACUGAGACACGGUCCAGACUCCUACGGGAGGCAGCAGUGGGGAAUAUUGCACAAUGGGCGCAAGCCUGAUGCAGCCAUGCCGCGUGUAUGAAGAAGGCCUUCGGGUUGUAAAGUACUUUCAGCGGGGAGGAAGGGAGUAAAGUUAAUACCUUUACUCAUUGACGUUACCCGCAGAAGAAGCACCGGCUAACUCCGUGCCAGCAGCCGCGGUAAUACGGAGGGUGCAAGCGUUAAUCGGAAUUACUGGGCGUAAAGCGCACGCAGGCGGUUUGUUAAGUCAGAUGUGAAAUCCCCGGGCUCAACCUGGGAACUGCAUCUGAUACUGGCAAGCUUGAGUCUCGUAGAGGGGGGUAGAAUUCCAGGUGUAGCGGUGAAAUGCGUAGAGAUCUGGAGGAAUACCGGUGGCGAAAGCGGCCCCCUGGACGAAGACUGACGCUCAGUGCGAAAGCGUGGGGAGCAAACAGGAUUAGAUACCCUGGUAGUCCACGCCGUAAACGAUGUCGACUUGGAGGUUGUGCCCUUGAGGCGUGGCUUCCGGAGCUAACGCGUUAAGUCGACCGCCUGGGGAGUACGGCCGCAAGGUUAAAACUCAAAUGAAUUGACGGGGGCCCGCACAAGCGGUGGAGCAUGUGGUUUAAUUCGAUGCAACGCGAAGAACCUUACCUGGUCUUGACAUCCACGGAAGUUUUCAGAGAUGAGAAUGUGCCUUCGGGAACCGUGAGACAGGUGCUGCAUGGCUGUCGUCAGCUCGUGUUGUGAAAUGUUGGGUUAAGUCCCGCAACGAGCGCAACCCUUAUCCUUUGUUGCCAGCGGUCCGGCCGGGAACUCAAAGGAGACUGCCAGUGAUAAACUGGAGGAAGGUGGGGAUGACGUCAAGUCAUCGUGGCCCUUACGACCAGGGCUACACACGUGCUACAAUGGCGCAUACAAAGAGAAGCGACCUCGCGAGAGCAAGCGGACCUCAUAAAGUGCGUCGUAGUCCGGAUUGGAGUCUGCAACUCGACUCCAUGAAGUCGGAAUCGCUAGUAAUCGUGGAUCAGAAUGCCACGGUGAAUACGUUCCCGGGCCUUGUACACACCGCCCGUCACACCAUGGGAGUGGGUUGCAAAAGAAGUAGGUAGCUUAACCUUCGGGAGGGCGCUUACCACUUUGUGAUUCAUGACUGGGGUGAAGUCGUAACAAGGUAACCGUAG